GAUGAACGCUGGCGGCGUGCCUAAUACAUGCAAGUCGAGCGAACGGACGAGAAGCUUGCUUCUCUGAUGUUAGCGGCGGACGGGUGAGUAACACGUGGAUAACCUACCUAUAAGACUGGGAUAACUUCGGGAAACCGUAGCUAAUACCGGAUAAUAUUUUGAACCGCAUGGUUCAAAAGUGAAAGACGGUCUUGCUGUCACUUAUAGAUGGAUCCGCGCUGCAUUAGCUAGUUGGUAAGGUAACGGCUUACCAAGGCAACGAUGCAUAGCCGACCUGAGAGGGUGAUCGGCCACACUGGAACUGAGACACGGCCCAGACUCCUACGGGAGGCAGCAGUAGGGAAUCUGCCGCAAUGGGCGAAAGCCUGACGGAGCAACGCCGCGUGAGUGAUGAAGGUCUUCGGAUCGUAAAACUCUGUUAUUAGGGAAGAACAUAUGUGUAAGUAACUGUGCACAUCUUGACGGUACCUAAUCAGAAAGCCACGGCUAACUACGUG
rnacentral:rRNA from 1 species